CCUACGGGUGGCAGCAGUGAGGAAUAUUGGUCAAUGGCCGAGAGGCUGAACCAGCCAAGUCGCGUUAGGGAAGACGGCCCUACGGGUUGUAAACCUCUUUUGUCGGGGCGCAAAGAGAGUCACGUGUGACUCAUUGAGAGUACCCGAAGAAAAAGCAUCGGCUAACUCCGUGCUAGCAGCCGCGGUAGUACUGAGGAUGCGAUCGUUAUCCGGAUUUAUUGGGUUUAAAGGGUGCGCAGGCGGAGUGUAAAGUCAGCGGUAAAAUUGCGGGGCUCAACCCCGUACUGCCGUUGAAACUGCAGCCCUUGAGUGCGCGAGAAGUAUGCGGAAUGCGUGGUGUAGCGGUGAAAUGCAUAGAUAUCACGCAGAACUCCGAUUGCGAAGGCAGCAUACCGGCGCGCAACUGACGCUCAUGCACGAAAGCGUGGGUAUCGAACAGGAUUAGAUACCCCAGUAGUC
rnacentral:rRNA from 1 species